AUCCGGCGGACGAGUUCCAAAUAGGACGAAACGCGCGUCUUGGAU
rnacentral:hammerhead_ribozyme from 1 species